GUUGUCUUUAUUUAAAACUCAACAUAAAUAAUAAUAUUUUUUGUAACUACCAGUAAACUUACGAUUCCAUCCAAAGUUUUGUCAUUGGCAUCUCUUUUAAAUCUGUUAAAUUCAAGACGUCCUUGUGAUAUACCUGGUGGUUGUAGAGGUCCACUAUCAGUUCCUGCUAAAACUGAUAGUAGCACUAUGAACAUCGCACACAAAAUAUUGAAUAUUUUCAUCUUCCAGAGGAUUUGCUCACCUAAAUAUACAAUGUAUUA
rnacentral:lncRNA from 1 species